GCCGAUGAGAAGCUUCGGUUCAAGGCUAGUAGUCAGAGCGGCGGAAGAUACACCUCCGGCAACCGCCUCGUCGGAUAGUUCUUCCACCACCGCUGCUGCUGCUCCGGCGAAAGUUCCGGCCGCUAAGGCUAAACCUCCUCCAAUUGGCCCAAAGAGAGGAUCCAAGGUACUUAUUCAUACAUAAUCUUUGAUGCAUGUUUAUACUUCAAAAUUUUGAGUUUAUUGAUGAUAGCCAAGUUUGGAUUACAAUAAAGUUUCUGGACUAUUUAGAAUAAUUUUGUAAGUAUGGGGUCAAUGUGAAACUUAUAUGAAGUUUUUGGACCUCUAGAUCAGGAUUAAAAGGAACUAACCCUUGUGGUAGAAGAAAAUUCAAGCUUAAUUAGAUGCUAGUAGAGAAGAUUGGACUAAUAUUUGAGCUAAACUGGGUAUCAUCAAUAAGUUCUGGGUCUAUUUAGUAUACAUAUUAAGAGUUAUAGGGCUACUGUGAAAUUUAUAAACAAUUUUGAGGACUUACAGG
rnacentral:lncRNA from 1 species